rnacentral:lncRNA from 1 species
UCAUGACUACUUUUAUGUUCUAGAGAUAUUUUUGUUUUAGCAAAAACAUCAAAACUCACUCCCAAAAGUACUUCCGCCGUUUUAAUAUCUUUAGACCUGUCCAUAGAUGAUACAUAUUUUAUGUAGACUAAUAAAAGUCAGAGUCAGCCUUGAGAAAAAGUAAGCAUUUUAAAUCAUGGUGAGGUUCAGGGAUGCUCAAUCUUCUUUGAUCCAAUACUUACAGAGUACUUCACAUAUGUUAGACACUGUGCUAGACACUGGGGAUGUUUAGAUUAAUAUUAAUAAGCCAUAGCCCCUGCCUUCAAUAAGUUUACAAUUUAGUCACAUUGGUUGGACAUAAAAUACAAAAGGUUAAGCACUACUAAGUUAGAUGAAUCUUAGCAAAGCCGUUCAACAGUGAGUGAGAGUCUACAAUUUUAUCAUUCUCGACAAGUGAGCAGCAGCAGCAACCCAGUGGACAAAUUUCAUACAGAGGAGAGACAAACAAACAAACACGAAAAGCGCCCCAGCAGCCUAGAAUCAGCCUUGAGGUUGUAUAAGCCUGUGAGUUAAAGGCACUGAAGGUCACUACACUUUUGAAAAGUAAAGUACAAGGGCAAGAAAGAGCAAUCCCUGUGUGAUGAAGCAGAGAAAUUACUUCUUCAGAGAGAAAACAGAAAUUCUUUAAAAUAAAAUAUCCUGUAGCAAAGGAAAAUCUACCUGGACAUAAUUAUAGCCACUGAACUACCAAAUGUGUAUAUUAAAUUCAGAUGGGAUGGGGUAGAUAAACAGAGGGUACACAAAAUAAAUUGUUGAAAACCUUUAUGAAAACUACAUAUGGUAGUUCAGAAGCUGGAUGAAAAACUCUGUUGCCAAAGAUAGAUUUCACAAAGAAUUUGACACCAAGCCGAGAAUUUAAGAGAUGCAGUUUCAACAAAAGAAGUUUAAAGUAAAACAAAAAUUUCUCCUGCAAUCAUUUUUAGUACAACGUUGAUGGAGAAUAAAGUCUUCCAGGAAGUCGUUACAUAGCACUGAAGACAUGUAAGUGUUUCAAAUCUCCAAAGCCAGAUGGUAUGCAUUGUAAGAUCCCAGAAGGACUCACAUGUGAAUGGCCAUCGGACUGGUCAGGACAUGAAAUACACUCUCACUGCCACAUUCUUAAGAUCCGGCUCCACUGGGAAUUUUUCCUCACAUAAAGGUUGGAGAAUUGGGUCCCAUCACCUUCGUUGGGAAGGAGCUGGGAAGCUUGCUAAGUAUGCCCAGCAUUUUGUAUCUUGCAAAAGGGGGCCCAGCUGAGGGCAUAACUGGGGGAUGAAAUCCAUGCCAAUCUUCUGGCCAAGCGAUGCAUCCUGUCGUGGGGUUUGCAAGUGCCUAGAGAAAGAGGUCUUUUUCCCUAUUCUGUGUGAAUAUGUCAUCCACUUGCAACCCUUGUGCGUGUGGGGCUGCAUCCACAAGUCUCCUGAUGUAACGGUGACUCUGAUUAAGAAGUCUUCCAUCUGCUCUUGAAUCCCAGGUGGAGGUGGAUCUGUUGAAGAAUGCUUAUCUGUUGAGACACAGCUCAGGUGCCAGACUUUCCUAAAGCCUAGCUAAGUUGCCGAGAAAUGUUAAGAUACGAGCUCUCGAGUCUGUUUGUUCUUCUUCCUAGCUAAAUAGUAUUUUUUGCUUCUCCAAAGGCAGUUUACUUUUUUUUUUUUUUUUUUUGCCUAAUGUUACCUAACUUUGGUGCUUUCCUUUUCUCCCUUAUCAGUCCCUUGCAGCCAGGGACUGGGUCCCACUCAUCUUUGAAUGCUAAACCUCAUCCAGCUGAGUCUUGCUAGUUAAUGUUUUAUCUAAUUCAGAGAUUGCAAACUGUGGCCUACAGACUGAUCUGGCUGGUCGCGUAUCAUUGUCCCAAAGACAGUUUAACAAAUUGUGAAUUGGGUUUUUUGUUUUGCAUACAUACUCAUGUUUACAAAUGAAGAGAUUCCACGUGAAAAAUCUGCAUUUCUACUUUCUUUGGAAAAAUUGGAAGUGCUGGCAAUACUAGGCUUGCUUUCUCUCAUGAUAGCAAUCAAUCAGAGGAGGGUAUCUGCUGCCUCUUUUUACCUGGUGUGUUCUUCGGGUCACAGAAUCAACAUCGUGCCCUAUUCCUUCUUGUGAUCAUCUACCUUGCUCCUCUAGGUAUUUGGCUUAAUUGAAUAGGAGUCCAUUAGCGUAUAUGAUCCAAUAAUUUCCCUAACAUUCAAUUACUAGAUCCCUUGCUGUAGCACAGAGUUUGUCAACAUUUUUUCUGUCUUAUCAUCCAUGGUAGAUGGCUUUCACAUAUGCAACCACUCCCAAGGGUUCUGUCAGGGUUAUUCUAGCUGUAACCAGACAGUGAGAUGGUUGCUAUAGCCAACAAAACUCUCUCUUAGAAAAAGGAAAGCAAAUACUUUGCAGGCUUCAGAGAAACUAUUACUGGUAACAAAUUUCUUGUGACAUCUCACAACUGAUCAUGACACAUAUGCGGAGUGAGUGCAGUUGAGAACGGUUCUUGUACCUGGAGAUUCUCAGGACUCUUGGGCAUGUUUCAAGAGAGGUGGGGGAAGCCGAGAGUUCAGCAGCAAUAGAGAGGCAGAAGCAGUAGGUC